AGCGAACGCUGGCGGCAGGCCCAACACAUGCAAGUCGAACGAACUCUUCGGAGUUAGUGGCGGACGGGUGAGUAACAGGUGGGAACGUGCCUUUUGGUUCGGAAUAACUCAGGGAAACUUGUGCUAAUACCGAAUGUGCCCUUCGGGGGAAAGAUUUAUCGCCAUUAGAGCGGCCCGCGUCUGAUUAGCUAGUUGGUGAGGUAACGGCUCACCAAGGCGACGAUCAGUAGCUGGUCUGAGAGGAUGACCAGCCACACUGGGACUGAGACACGGCCCAGACUCCUACGGGAGGCAGCAGUGGGGAAUCUUGCGCAAUGGGCGAAAGCCUGACGCAGCCAUGCCGCGUGAAUGAUGAAGGUCUUAGGAUUGUAAAAUUCUUUCACCGGGGACGAUAAUGACGGUACCCGGAGAAGAAGCCCCGGCUAACUUCGUG
rnacentral:rRNA from 1 species